AUUUCAGGUAGAGGCGCAAGAAUCAUGAGUAAAUCUUUCGACAUGGUAAGGCAUGAGUGAAGAAGAUUGAAAGGGAGGAUUGCCGAAGAGCUUAUUAUCCUUACAGAUAAGACUCUGGGCAUGCAGUGAAGAAUUGUAUGACUGUCAUCGCAAGAUGGAGGGCUACUUUGAUU
rfam:Clostridium sp. CAG:632 genomic scaffold, scf88